AGGAACACAGGCUGUUCCUGAGGAGAAAGAAGGCUGUAAGUAGAGUCUGGAAGGGGCCAGGAAGGAAGAGAGCAUUGCUGGGGGAAGGAGGAGGCCUGAGGUAAGGUCUCUGAGAAAGAGUGUGUGGGGUCUCCCAAGGCUUCCGUCUGUUGUCAUGAGUGUGUUCAACUUUCUAAACAUUAACUCCAUCCCCAAAGGCAGGCCUUGACUGAACUAAAACCCAGGGAAAUUCCCUUCCUACAGUCAGGUUUGAGUCCAUUCCCUCAGGGAGGGGAGGAAGGUCACCUAUUCUUGGCCUGCUGCGGCCUCUUCCUGGGCCCUAGCCAGGACAAAGGUCAAAAGGACUCUAGGCCUUGGUCCUUCUGAGAUUGCCUUUGCUCCCAGAAGUACCACCAGGUGGUCAUGGGAAAAGGCCUGAAAGGACUUUCCUCCAUGGCAGUCUAGACCAGUAGCAGAAGGACCAGACCACAUCACAGUUUACUUGAGCGGGAUUCUCUCCUGUACUGAACUCUUCAGCAUUCUGGACUGGAAUUUAUUUAAGUUUUUUUGUUUCUUUUUUCUUUCUUUCUUUCUCCUUUUUUGAAAGCUGUUGCUUAGGUCCUGGCUAACACCCAUCUUUUUUUUUAAUAUGAUUUAUUUAAUGUAUAUGAGUACACUGUAGCUAUCUUCAGACACCAGAAUAGGGUACCAGACUCCAUUACAGAUGGUUGUGAGCCACCAUGUGGUUGCUGGGAAUUGAACUCAGGACCUCUGGAAGAGUAGUCAGUGCUCUUAACCGCUGAGCCAUCUCUCCAGCCCUUAUUAUUUAAAUCCUGAUCAUAGUACAUUUGAGGAGGUGUAGCAAUUAAUUAGAGGGAAAAAUGGCUAAUAUCUUUCAAGUACUUCCUAUGCUCCACACCUGGGAUAAAAUACUACAAGCUUUUUAAUAUAUGUGGAUAAUCUUGUUGUGAAUUCAUUUUUAUUGUUCCUAGUUUAUGGGUGAAGCAGAUGCAGAUUGCUUCCAGAGCUGAUUCAAGGGUCCCAAGAGUAAAUGGCCAAGUUGGAAUUUGAACUCAGAUACUCCAUAGCCCUUUCCUUCAGUCUCUGUGCCUUAGCCUGACAGUGGUGUGGUAUAUCUCUCAACUAAAAUCUGGAAAGCAAGUGUGUCUAUGUGCUUUGGGACCAGAUGUCCGGGUAGAGAGAGACAGUAGCUUUCUGGGAAGCUGGGUCUCCCUCUGUACUGGCCGGGCUCCCACACUCUCCCAAGUGGCAGAUCCCAUGGGCACAAGUGACCCCAGGACCUUUUAUUCUUUAGUCAUCAUUAGUCAGAGCUUCUGAGCACCACAGAGACAAGACGCUGGGUGCAGGGAUUUAGGAAAGUGCCCAGCAGCCUCAUCCCUUAUUUCCGGGGUGGUCAGCCAGGCCUGCAAAACAGCAGCAGUCUGGACCCAAGCAGGCCACCUCUAGUCGGUGGUGGCCUCCUAGGAGCACCAGACAUUGUGUUUGCUUUUCUGUUUCCUUGAUUGGGUGGAGGAUAGGCCAGGCAACUUGGACAGGCUGGGCAGCCCACACCUCAGUAUAAGACUGGUCUAAAGACCUGACCAUCUAUCUGUCUUGUCAGUGUGUGUGAGCCAUUCUCAGCCCUCUGUCCGUCCAGUCAUCGCUGUGCUCUUCUACCAAAUAUGGCCUCUGCGUGCUCAACAACAACUGGCCCCUUUGUUAUGGCUUUGCAGAUGCCGCCCAGCUCCUCCUAUACCACGAGCAGGCAGUUUGGGAUCUAAGCCUUUUGUUUACACAAAAACUACAAAUCACAUGGGAGUUGGAUGGUGUGUGCCAGAGAUACGUGUAUCUGUCUAAGCCACAAGGCUUGGGUAUGCUAGGCAAACACCAGCCCUGAGUUGUCUCCCCAGCUCCUCUGCCCAUUCUUGGUAGUUUUUGAAACAGCAUUUCCGUGUAGCUUAGGGUGACCCUCAGAUUUCAAAUUUCAUAUGAAGUUGGGGGUGACCUUGAACCCUCUACUUCAAAGAGCUAGGAGCCGUUAGACCUGGUGACAUAUUUUUGGUAGUUAGGGAGUUUGAACUCAGAGCCUUACAUAUUGCACUACUGAGCUAUAGCCUCAGCUCCCUUAAGUUUUUACUUUGAGACAAGAUCUUGCUAGGUUGUCCACAGGCUGUCUUUGUUCUAGCUGUGCAAGCUGGCAACUUGGGAUCCUCCUGCCUCAGUCUUCCAAGUAGCUCAGGUUCCAGGUUUAUACCACCUUUCAUGACUCCAACAUACACUCUUAGUUUUUCUUGAUGGAUUCAUGUAGGAUGGUGCACAUUGAGGUGGGGGAAGUGCGUGUACAUAUUCACAUUGUAGAGGUCAGAGGACAACUGUAGGUGUCAGCCUCAGAACCACUGUCCCCUCUUUGAGAUGUAUCUACCUUUGGCUCACCAGUUAGAUUAACUGAUUGGCCAGUGGGCUCUAGGGAUUCACCUGUCUGCUUCCUUGAAGCUGGGAUUAUAACACACACCAUACCCAGCAUUUUUACUUGACUUCUGUCUUAGUUAGGAUUUUACUGCUGUGAACAGACACCAUGACCAAGGCAACUCUUUUUUUUUUUGUUAUUGUUGUUUAAGAUUUAUUUAUUUUUGUUUAUAUGAGUACACUGUAGCUGUCUUUAGACACGCACUAGAAGAGUGCAUUGGAUUCCCAUUACAGAUGGUUGUGAGCCACCCUGUGGUUGCUGGGAAUUGAACUCAGGACCUUGGAAGAGCAGUCUCUCCUGCUCAAGGCAACUCUUUUUUUUUUUUUCUUUUCUUUUUUUCGGAGCUAGGGACUGAACCCAGGGCCUUGCGCUUGCUAGGCAAGCGCUCUACCACUGAGCUAAAUCCCCAACCCCCCUAAGGCAACUCUUAUAAGGACAACAUUUCAUUGGAGCUGGCUUACAGGUUCAGAGAGGUUCAGUCCAUUAUCAUCAAGGCAGGAACAUGGCAGCAUCCAGACAGGCAUGGUGCAGGAGGAACUGAGAGUUCUACAUCUUCAUCUGAAAGCUGCUAGGGUGAGGGUCUUAAAGCCUACUCCCACUGUGACUCAUCUAGCCCAACCAGGCCACACCUACUUCAACAGGGCCACUCCUUCUAAUAGUGCCACUCCCGGGGCAGAGCAUAUACAGACCAUCCCAGGUUCUAUGGAUUAAAUUCAGAUGAAUACUUUAUUAACAACUAUGGUCACCCUCAUACAUAUUUUUUAUUUAUUUCUUACUUAAAAGACAACUCUUAGGGGCUGGGGAUUUAGCUCAGUGGUAGAGCGCUUACCUAGGAAGCGCAAGGCCCUGGGUUCGGUCCCCAGCUCCGAAAAAAAAAAAAAAAAAAAAAGAACAAAAAAAAAAAAAAGACAACUCUUAGGGGUGGGUGAUAUUCAUCUCCGUUUUGCAAGUAAGGACACUGAAGCCAGAGUCUUACAAUUAGAAAAUAGAUGAUCUGGGAUUUGAACCCUCAGAUCAUGGUCACUCCUCUUCAGACCCAUUGGCCUUUGUGCACACCCCACAGCACACAUACCCCUCAGAAAAAAAUUGGUAUUACUUCCUGGAUGUCUAAAACUGCUGUAGGUAGUUCUUAUGGAUGAGCCGUGACCAGUAACCUAGGUAAGGCUCUUUGAUAAGCCUCUAAUUGGCUGCUGGCCAGCACCUCCCGUCCUGGUACAAGCUCUUCUGAUCAGUUACUUUUGGAUGCCGUCACACCUAUAAAGCCCUGUUGAGUUCAUCUCAUUAUGGCAACUCUUCAUAGCUCCCCGCUACCAAAACCCCCCCAGUCCUUUCAUGUUUGUCAUGAAAUCCUAAUUUAUAUAUUCCUUUUGUCCUUUGUGGUUUUAGGUCCUGCCUGAUCCUCCCUCCCACUGUGACCUUAGGAGUUCCAGGACAAAUUUCAUAUAGAUCCCCCUCCCCAUUCCUAUCCAGACAACCUUGAUACAUAAAUUUAACACUGGCCCCUGCUUUGCCCAUUCUGUUCUCUGGAAACAUUUCUGUGGACUCAUCCCUUCUGCCCUCCUGUGACCGCCUCCGGGGUCUCGGCCAAUGUCUGCGCCACUCGGAGUUGGUGCCACAGAGCAGCUCAGUACAUGUAACUUACAAGAAGCCUGAGGUUGUGCGACAGUAGGCAGAACCUUGGAGACCCAGACAGUGAGAAUGGUUUGUGUGGACUCAGAGGCAGAACUCAGUAACACAGCAAGGUGAAAGAGAGUGAGGGAUGGGAAGGAUCACACAGACGACGGGACCUGUGCAGUGGUGGUGGAUGCCAUUAAUCCCAGCACUUGGGAGGCAGAUAGGCGGAUCUUUGUGAAUUCAAGGCCAGGCUGGUCUACAGAGCAAGGUCCAAGACAGCUGAGAAGGAAAUCCUGUCACAACAACAAUAACCAACCAACCAACCAACAAACAGAACUGAAUAGAAUGGAGAGGGGGAGGGGAAAGGGGAAGUGGAGAUGAGGGAGUAGGAAUCAUUCCUUUAGGUCAAAACAAUCCUUAGCUCUCAGCUUGGGAAUAGCCUUCAGAGAUCAGCCAGUCCAGGAGUGGCAAAGCACUCACAAGCUCUUAUGCACCCUGAGAAGAGGAUGCUAGUGUUGAUUGGUAAUGUCUGCUCUGGGCACUGAAUUGGAAACGGUGGUGCAUGUGCUAGAAUUUCAUGUAUUUGCUUCAGCUGCUACCUUUCCAAAGUAGAACAAGGGUAGGGUGUCUGUCUAAGGUUUCAACCCCACUCUGUCCUAUUUCAAGAGGGACUUGUGUAGCUGAGGCUGCCCUUGAACUCCUGAUUCUCCUACCUCCACUUUCCAGGUGGUUAGGAUUACAGACUUUUGACACUGCACCCAGCUAGAAUAUCCAAUUUAACACAGACAAGGGAUAUGGGAAAUGUGGCGGAUUUGGGUACCGAGUUUGUGAUAAUGGUGAGAGAGCAGGCAGUCCACAGCUGUGGGGAAAGUUGUGGCAUGUCACAGACUGGACAUGGGGUAAAUGUUUCCACUGAGUGCUAACUCGCGGGACCUGCCUAGCAUCUGCCUCUACCUCUGCCUCUUUUAUUUCACUUCUGAUCUUCCCAUCUUGGUCUCCCCAUAGAAGAAUGGGAGGCUCUUUGGAGCAAAGGUUUUUCUGUAGACUGAGUCAAAAAUACAGUUGGGAGGCAAGAAGCGGGUGGGGCUAGGCUUGCACAGGGAUGGCACCCAUGUGCAGAGGCCCUGGCAGUGUGGCAGUGAAAAGACCCCCGAAUGCAGGCAGCCAUGGAGGAGCAGAAAGCUGGGAGGAGAAGAGCAGGAACCACUAAGCCAGAGUGUACCAACCGCCCUGGCUGGAGGCUGGAAGGGCCAGGCGCUCAGGAUUGGCUCACCUUUAAAGUUCGCUCACGAGGCUCUGCCUUCUUCCACUCCUGCAUCUGCUAUCUUCCUCUCCAGUCCAUCUUUGUCUUCUCCAUGUCCCUGUCCCCAUCCAUACCAGAGUGUCUCCUGGGUAUAUGGUGAGAGUGGCCCUAUCAGAGUUAAGCCAAGUUGCUGCUUGAAUCUAGGGUCUGAGGCUAGACAAAGAAAGUCGGCUUCGAGAAUGCUUCAGAGCAUCUCAGCACUCCACCAGCUUUCCCUAAGAGAAACCCAGAGAGGAACGGCUGCCCCGGUGUCAGUGUCGAGGUUUAACAGUCACUGUGAUUUGCCCGCUGACUCUCAUCUUCCUGUUGGGGAGCACUCCCAGGUCCUGCCCACAGAACUGCCCUGCUUUAUGUCUUGUUAGAAAGGCCUCUUCGACCUUACCCCUGGAUAGAUACAGGACUGAUCUGGCCAGUCUGUGUCAUCCACCCAUGAACCACAAGCCACUCAAUAGAAACAGACCCAGUGCCAUCAACUGAGGGCCUGUUGCCGCUCUCUCGGGGGUGGGCUGUGUGUUUUGUUUUCUGCAGAGUUUGCUACUGUGGGAAAUGUAAGUAUGAGCUGCUUAGAGCAUUUUGGGGUUUGACUACCCAGAGAGUAAAGCUAACACAAAUGAGAACAGACCUGAAUCAAAGAGACAGAUGCCCAGUGACACUGAGUGGCCUGAUCCAGAUAUGCCUGAAGCUGCUCUCUGAGGUUUUUUCAGUUAUGUGAGGAAAAGCUUAAGCUGUCCUGAUUUGGAUUUCUGUCUCUAUGUCUGUCUCUGUCUGUCUCUCUUUCUCCACCCCACUUCUCUGCACCACCGCCCCAGGCUGACAUGUAACCAAAGCUGGUCUUAGACCCUCUACAUAGCUGAGGGUGAUCUGAGGCCCUGCUCCUCCUGCCUCUACCUCCCGAAUCACGAAUGGCACAGUUUCAUGCGAUGCUGUGGCAGGCAAGCGCUGCCCCGACUAAGCUACUACGUCCUCACCCUCUUCACUCGGAUUCCUGAUCGUUUACAUGCAAGAAGCCGUAGAUCAGUCUAGAGAAACAGGUAUAGAGAACCCAAAGAGAGAAACAACAGCAAGCCAAGAACCAAGUCUGAAGAGACCGCAGAGUCCCCACUCAUAGGUUCUGGAACUGAACUUGCAGCCCCCAGCACCCUCCAACCCAGCUCAAGACGGGGCCAGCUUGCUCAAGGCAAACCAUCAAGGCUUGCAUGGAAGCCAAAUGUUCUGUCCACCUCCCUGACUGCAGUAGCUGGCAGGCCUGACUCAACCCCAGAAGUGCCUACCUCCCUGAGGUUAGAAGCAUGUCAACCCGGUGCCUGUGAUGAUCAGGAGAAGGGCAGGGUAGAUUGGGGAACCUGCCUGGGAUGUGUUUUCCCUAAAUGGUCCUUGAUCCUGGAAAGGAAAUGCACCCUGGGGCCACUUAGCUUGGGCUCCUCCCAGCCUCUGCCUCCUCCCUCCCAAGCCUUCCGGGUUCUCCAGCUUGCCACACUCCUAAUGCUGAGACCCUUUAAUACAGUUUCUCAUGUUAUGGUGACCCUCCUCCUAACCAUCAAAUUAUUUUUGUUGUUAUUUCAUAACUGUAAUCUUGCUAGAGUUAUGAAUUGUAAGGUAAAUAUCAGUGUUUUCCAAUGGUCUUAGAACCCUGUGAAAGGGGGCAUUCAUCUCCCAAAAGGUUGCGCCCCACAGUUUGAAAACCGAAGUUCUAGAGUAAAGUUAGAGCCUGAGGGAGCUCAGUUGGCCUCCUUGGAAAAGGGAUGAGGCUAGGCUAGUAUUUACAAAAAGCAAGAGGGCAGUGCUCGCCAGUGACCUCUAGUGGGGGAGUAUCAGAAGAGAGCUGCCAUUCCUGGGGUCUUAGGAACUACAUUGCUGUCCCAUUCUUAGGAGAGCUGCGCGCAGAGGCUGCUAGCUCCACAGUUCAGUUUAGCAGCCGAGGAAACCGGGGGCCUGAGAGAAUCUCACUCAUGCUGCUAGGGAGAGGCUGAUCUGAAAUGGAAACUCAGGACUGCCUGCCUGCCUGCCUGCCUGCCUGCCUGCCUGCCUGCCUGCCUGCCUGCCUGCCUGCUAAGUGGAUGUUUUGUGGUCCUUCCCACAGGUCCAUAUCCUCCACACACAGGCAUGACUGUAUCUGUGGGAUUGAGGCCUUGACUCCAUGCCCUAGUCCCUCCCAUACACCCCAACACUCCAUCUCUCCCAGCUCCUCCAGUCUCCUCACGCUCUUUGCUUCCUUCCCUUCCAUUUUGGAAAGCAGCCAUGGGUUUUUUCCCCUCCCAUCUGAGGGAAAGAAAAUGGUUUUAAUCCCCUACACCCCCAGUCCUUCCAUCUUCUCAUCCAUCCAAACCCAAGCAUCUCUCUCUCUCUCUCCCUCCCCUUCUUCUGUUUAUCCAUCACUAGAAGCCACCCCCUUCUCUCUUGCCUGUAGGUUCUGUGGCUAUAAUCAAAUCAUAACUUUUAUUAAAUUUAAGAUUACUUUUUAAUGGAAUCAAUUUCUUGUGUGGUGCUUCUCUGCCUGCCCGCGGGCCCCGCCGGCUCUGUGCUCAGCAUCCCCACCCUCACAAUUGUCUCUGCCGCUGGCGUUUCUAGCUAAGCUGCUACCCAAGGAGGGGUAGGUCUGCCAUCCCUAUACACACCACACAGAAACACACACACACACACACACACACACACACACACACACACACUUGUGCACAUACAUCAAGCUGCGCCUUCCACAAAGCCCCAAACAUACAACCUCCAAGCCCCAGGCGCCCACACUGUAGGGUGGGGGUGGGGAGCCAGCAUGGAGGUUGCAGGGCAGGAGGAGGAUUGCGCUGCAGAGAGAAAGACUGAGGGUGCCAUACAAACACAGAUAGAGGAGGCAUUUCUCAGCCUGUUAAUUUCCUACAGUUCUGUUUCCUAGCCUCAGAAGCAAGCUGGUUUCUGCCAGUGCACGCCUUCCCCUGACUGCAUUGUGUAUCUGAUGGGGAAGGGAAAUGGGAGUCCAAAGGAUCAGCAAGCCAGGAGACUCUGGGCUUCCUUUGAUUUAUAAACGCACGUAGAUGAUACAAGUCACAUUUUGCUGGUACUGUGACAUCUUCCCCCACCCCCAAACACAAGCUCAUCAGACCCAUUUGUAGCUGGAGGGCCCCUAAGCCUACAUACAGUGUGGGGCUGUGUACUUAGGGAGGGAAAGAGCUUAAGGGUUCUAAAGGGAGGAGAGGGAUAUAGAGAAGAGGAGACAUUUUGAUAGAUUGGCAUAAGCAAGAGGGGUUGCAGAAGAGGGAAAGCCAUAGUUGUCUGGAGAUUGGGGUGGUGGCUGUCUGUUGACUCAGCAAAGAUAGGGGAACUACUGGGAUAGAUCUGGGCUCAUCUCUAGCUUAGGCAGAACCAGGUGGGCAAGAACACAUAGUUGGACAGGUGCAUUUGAGACUGGGGGAUUGCUAUCUUGGCUCUCUGUACUGUCUCGGCACAUCUGCUUUACUAUUAGGAGUGGAAGCUCAGUUCAUCCACCAGGUGGGUGGUGCUUAGCUUAGUGAAUGGGUGCCCAGUCUUUGCCUCCGGUGCUCUCUGAGUAGCCACUCUGAUGUUUUUAUCGUAACGACCUUGAACAGGUGACCUGGCGUCUCUGAGACUGAUUCUUCUGAAUAGGGGGAUUUAUUUGGAGUGAUGCAGGCAGAUGAGCUAGCCUAGCACAAGCUGGGAGAGGAAAUACUGAGGAGGCUGAGGCAGGAGGAUGACUAGAAUUCAAGUCUAGUGUGGGUUACACAUCGUGAUUGCCAGAUUAGCCAGAGCUAUGUAGUAAGACUAUUCUGUCCGACAGGAAGUAGGGCAGGGGCCCGAGAGGUGGCUCAGUGGUUAAGAACACAUACUAUUUUUGUAGUGGACCUGAGUUUAGAUUUCAGCAUCUAUCUCAGGAUCUCAUAACUGCUAUGACUCCAGCACCAGAAAGAUCUGAUGCUUCUGGCCUCCGUAGGCUCUACACUCAUGCACAUACUCACACAGAGACUCACGUAUACAUAAAAUCUGUAAGUUCAAGAUCAUCCUUGUCUCCUUAGUAAGCUCUAGGGAAUGCUGGGCUACAUGAGACCCUGUCUUAAAUAUAAAAGCUAAAAGCUUCAGGCAGGCCUGGGAUCCUGAAUGAACUUCAGGCUGGGACCAGAUAGCGUGUGAAUGAGUGGCCCUAGAAUUGGACCCGAGGGCAUUCCUAGCUCUAAUCUGACUUAAGUAAAUGGGUGGCUGAUGUCUGUGAGGAGCAGAGGGACCCAUGAAGGCUCCUGGUGUUGAGUCCCCACCCUGGGCUUUCAGGGAACAAGGAGUUAGACCUGGUCUGGGGCAGGGUCAAGGAAAACAUCAGUCCCUUUUCUGCAGCCUCAGCUAGCCCCUGUUGUUUUUGAGAUUUUAGAUGGCUCUGACAUCCUUAGACAAGGUCCAGACGAGGAAAGUCUAUAAAGAUUUAAUCAAACACUGUGCAUGGGUGACCCUGGUUGCCCAUUCCUGUCUGCCAACUCCAGGGACAAGGAAAAGCUUUAUGAAGACUGGAGUAAGGAACAGACAUGGCAAAAGCUAACUUCUUAGUGAAGCCCAUAUUUAGCUAGACUGGGGAGCAAAUGCUAGCAUGGCCCCAGUCACAGCCUCACCCAGCUCUGUAGCAGGACCCAAGGAGAGGGGCUACUUAGAGCUUGGCUGUUGUUUUAGAGAGAAGGGGCACAGGAGCCUCCUCCUUAAGCCUCUCCACAGCUCCUGGAAGGAGGCUGGUCCAACCUGCUCAGCACCUCCCUCUGCUUGACCCUUGGCACAGGCAUGCUGUUCAGUCGGUACCUGAGCCCGCACACCUGCACGGGCCUGUCUGGAGAGAGACAUGUCAUGGACGUUCCCACGGGCCAUGCAGUCACUCCUACAGCUACAGCCCAAGGGGUCUGAUGAGCUUCAGACGUCACCUCUCACAAUUUUACUCAGGACAGCCCGAAAGGGGGUGGGCAAGAGCCACUCAAACUAAGUGAGGAAGAUCUCCUGAGCUUUCUCAAGCAGGUUGCUGUAUUCUGUGACCCUUGACCUGGAAGUCAUUGUAACCUUGGUCGCACACUCUUACCAAACUCUUCUCUUCUUUUCUCCAUUUUUCUUUAUAGAGUUUGUUUGUUUGUUUUGAGUUUGGUUUUAAUUAUUAAUUAAUUAAUUUAUUUAUUUUGGUGGGGUGAGUUUGCACUUGCCAGGGCAUGCGUGCGUAGGUCAGAGGACAGCCUACAAGAGCCUGUUCUUUCAUUCCACCACCCGAGUCCCGGAAGUUACUUAAUCUGCUGAGCAAUCUCUCGGCCGGCUCUCUUUUUAAGAGGCGGUGUUGCUAUGUAGACCAGCUAGGCCUGAAAUUCACCCUCCCCUCGAGUCUGUCUCGUGAGUGAAGAGAGCUCAGGUGUGCACCGUCACACCCAGCUAGACCAGCCAGACUUUGUUUGAAUACCCAGUGAUCAAGUCCUGUGGUACAGACAGGAAAGUCGGGGCUCAGAGAAGUUAGGUCAGUGAGUGGUGCUGCUGUUUUCGAAAUGGUGCAGAGGCUUGAACCCAGGCAUCUUAGACAAGUGCUGAGCCUCCCGGGCACACCAUGGGGUGGAACUUGAAACCAAAACACCUGUUCCCAGAGUCCCCGCUGUUCCUCCUUUCUAGAAGCUUCCCUUUAUUUCCUGUCUCUUGUCCUUCACUUUCACAGUCUCAGGUUCACCGUUGUCAUCAUCACCGUCACAAUCCAUCAUCUCCUCGUUUCUCCUUUUAGUUCAAAAGAAAUACUCGCUUGAGAUUCAGGCUCAGCAGCUGCUCUGGAGGUCCUUCCUCUUCCGUCUUCCUCUUCUUCUUCAACAUCACCACACCCACUGCCAUCGCACAGUCGCCUUCUGUCAAAUAUCUAACUGCAAUGGUGGCCGUACUCCUCCUUCUGUGGGAUCAGAGGAGGUUCAGUUUACACACACAACCUAAGAGUGUGGAAAGCCCUCAGAAAGUGAGGACUGGGGUUGGGUGGGGGUGGGAAGAGAAUUUAAAACAGAGUGUCUGUUGAGGGAAAUUAAUCAACGGCCAAGCAGAUUGCUUGUCAUCUUUCAAUAUCUGUAAAAAUAACAGGCCUCUAGAGAGAGAGAGAGACAGCCAGAGCGCCAAGGGAACAGAAGACCAGAAGAUGCUCUGCCCAGCCCAGGCCUGUGAGAAGAUCCAGGAGACGGAGAACCACCCACUUUGGGUAUUGGCCAACACUCCGUCUUCCCUAGCCACAGUCGCUCUUGCCACCCCUUGGAAGCUGGCGGCCUCCAGUUACACUGCCCAGGAGUUUGGAAAUUGCCUGUCUCUGCUAGUCUGAAUCCCACCUGCCUUCUAGCUCACUGAGCUGGUUGCUCCCUGUGAAUGUCGGCUGCCAGCCGGGCAGUCAGGAUGCAUAGGAACUUGAAGAGAGGGCAGCGGCUUCCCGGAUCAGAGCCUCCGCCCAGACUUCCAGCCAAGGCCCCAGAACUCCCAGGACCUGGAGGGUUUUUUCUCCUGGUUGUGUUUGGAAUUGGCUGGUUUUUCUGGGCAUCAGGCCCAGCUCAGUUUAAUUUUUGUUUAUUUUUAUGUACAGAUUCUCUUCUGUUUGGGGAAGAGCUUUGUGUAAAUUAUUAUUAUUUAUAUGAUAAAGAAUAAAUCACACCAAAUAAAAAAA